AUACAUGAUCUAAACACCCUAAAGGUGCCAGAUCCCAUCUGAUUUUCUAAGCUAAGCAGGGUCAGUCCUGGUUAGGCCUUGGAGGGGAGACCAGCUGCUGUAGGUUUCAGAAGACGUGUUUG
rnacentral:rRNA from 11 species